CUACGGGCGGCACCAGUGGGGAAUAUUGGACAAUGGGGGAAACCCUGAUCCAGCAAUGCCGCGUGUGUGAAGAAGGCCUGCGGGUUGUAAAGCACUUUCGGUUGGGAGGACUGCUUCUAGCACUAAUAUUGUUGGAAGUUGACGUUACCUUCAGAAGAAGCACCGGCUAACUCCGUGCCAGCAGCCGCGGUACGAUACGGAGGGUGCAAGCGUUAAUCGGAAUUACUGGGCGUAAAGCGCGCGUAGGCGGCUAGAUCAGUCGGGUGUGAAAGCCCCGGGCUUAACCUGGGAACUGCAUCCGAUACUGUCUAGCUUGAGUACAGGCGAGGAGAGUGGAAUUCCACAUGUAGCGGUGAAAUGCGUAGAUAUGUGGAGGAACACCAAUGGCGAAGGCAGCUCUCUGGCCUGAUACUGACGCUGAGGUGCGAAAGCGUGGGGAGCAAACAGGAUUAGAUACCCCCGUAGUC
rnacentral:rRNA from 1 species